CGGUUGAUCCUGCCGGAGGUUACUGCUAUCGGGGUUCGAUUAAGCCAUGCAAGUUAAAUGUUUUUCGUAAACAUAGCGAACUGCUCAGUAACACGUGGAUAACUUAACCUUAGGUCCGGCAUAACCCCGGGAAACUGGGGAUAAUUCCGGAUGUAUCAAGGAUGCUGGAAUGCCCUUUGGUUCAAAGCUUUUGUGCCUAAGGAUAGGUCUGCGGUCUAUCAGGUUGUAGUGGGUGUAACGUACCUACUAGCCGACGACGGAUACGGGUUGUGAGAGCAAGAGCCCGGAGAUGGAUUCUGAGACACGAAUCCAGGCCCUACGGGGUGCAGCAGGCGCGAACACUUUACAGUGCGGGAAACCGCGAUAAGGGAACCCCGAGUGCCAGUACUAAGUGCUGGCUGUCUAGAUGAAUAGAUAUCAUUUAAUAGCAAGGGCCGGGCAAGACCGGUGCCAGCCGCCGCGGUAACACCGGCGGCCCGAGUGGUAACCGAUAUUAUUGGGUCUAAAGGGUCCGUAGCCUGUUUAAUAAGUCCUUUGGGAAAUCUGGCAGCUUAACUGUCAGGCUGCUAAAGGAUACUGUUAAACUUGGGACCGGUAGACGUAGGGGGUACUCCAGGGGUAGGAGUGAAAUCUUGUAAUCCCUGGGGGACCAUCUGUGGCGAAGGCGCCCUACGAGAACGGGUCCGACGGUGAGGGACGAAAGCUAGGGGAGCAAACCGGAUUAGAUACCCGGGUAGUCCUAGCUGUAAACGAUGCUCGCUAGGUGUCAGGCACGGUGCGUCCGUGUCUGGUGCCGCAGGGAAGCCGUUAAGCGAGCCACCUGGGGAGUACGGUCGCAAGGCUGAAACUUAAAGGAAUUGGCGGGGGAGCACUACAACGGGUGGAGCCUGCGGUUUAAUUGGAUUCAACGCCGG
rnacentral:rRNA from 1 species